rnacentral:misc_RNA from 1 species
AAAAGGUCUCGCUCGACGUUGUACCCGACAGGCGGCACCGGUUUAUAUUUAUAAUCGUUAAUGCCCGUAGAGAAAGUCUCGGCGUGAGAAAUCCCUUUGAAUGUAUACUCUGAUACUGAAGGUGUAGGUACUCCAUUGGAAAGAUGAUAAUUAAUGCAGGAGGGCUAUCGAUUUUUCUGAGAGAAUUCUGGAUUUAAUGAAAAGCUACAGCGUUUGGUGGUGGAUAUAGGUUCUUGAAUUUUCUGAAAAGUCUUAUGUGUGAGGGACCUUUUUUCUUUGCUUUGGAUUGUUAAGAUCAAUUGGACAGCAGCCACGCCAUGUUUGCUGCGGUAAUAUAUUUCACUUUUCAUAGAUAUCGUUGUUCAUUUGUAUACAUGUGUAGUUCUUAUAUUUCUAAGCAUCUGGCUUUUGUAAAAGUGGGAAGUCAAUUUGCUCAAUUACUCUUUUAAGAGACCAUUGUUUAUAAAAUCGGAUAUUUGUAACUGAACAAGUUUUCCUGGACAUAAUUAUACUUGAUAAGAGGUUAUUGAGCUUAUUGUAAGAUUAAGAUUGUGUACACUCAAAGGACACGUAGAAAUGAAUUCCAGCCAUUUUUAAACAAACUGACAGAGAUCUGGGGCUAAAGAAUUUCUAAUCUCCUUUAGUUUUGGUCAGUCAGACGUGACCGCGGGUAAGUUAAAUAGGAUCAGUACAAUUUCUUAAAAGACGCGAUACCGUGUUGUACGGCCAAGGAACAACUAAGGGCCGAUAUCAGUUAUGUAAUACUUUGUAAAGAGAAGGACACAAAUAGGAUUUUGUUGACAUGUCAAUCUGAUAUAUCAAUAUAUCAAAUAUAUACCCCCCCCCCCC